rnacentral:tmRNA from 2 species
GGGGUAGUAAAGGUCUCGACAGGGAUUUUGAAACUUUAGAAGCGAGCCGCAGGAUGAUGCGUUAAAUCUCAAAUUAAAUUUAAACGCUAACAAUAACGAAUUAGCAUACGCUGCCUGAUCGCAGCGUAAGUCGCCUGAUUGUACCCAUGCAUUCAGUCACCGGCUUCAAACACAUGGGAAACGGCUUGUGCUAAGCUUUGCGCACCAGUACGUAUCAUGAAGCUACUGACCCCGGAAGGGCGUGCUCUCCCGUCCGGCAGAGGGAAUGACAAACAGAUCACUAAGCUCGUAGAAGGAGAGUGAAUAGAUUUUUGGACGCGGGUUCGACUCCCGCCUACUCCACUA